AGAGUUUGAUCAUGGCUCAGGAUGAACGCUGGCGGCGUGCCUAACACAUGCAAGUCGAGCGGCAGCGCGAGUAGUUUACUACUUGGCGGCGAGCGGCGGACAGCUGAGUAACGCGUGGGAACGUGCCCCAAAGUGAGGAAUAACUGCCCGAAAGGGUAGCUAAUACCGCAUAUUAUCUUCGGAUCAAAGGAUUUAUCCGCUUUGGGAGCGGCCCGCGUCGGAUUAGGUAGUUGGUGAGGUAAUGGCUCACCAAGCCGACGAUCCGUAGCUGGUCUGAGAGGAUGACCAGCCAGACUGGAACUGAGACACGGUCCAGACUCCUACGGGAGGCAGCAGUGAGGAAUCUUCCACAAUGGGCGAAAGCCUGAUGGAGCAACGCCGCGUGCAGGACGAAGGCCUUCGGGUUGUAAACUGCUUUUAUAAGUGAGGAAUAUGACGGUAACUUAUGAAUAAGGAUCGGCUAACUACGUGCCAGCAGCCGCGGU
rnacentral:rRNA from 1 species